AAUGGGCUUCAUUAAGCCUGUCUCUAUGACUGUGAGAACAAGGGCAUCAUUUCUUCUAGGUGUCUGCCUUCCUCACCUCUGAAUAUGAUGAUGGAUGAAGGAUUUCGAAGGUUUCUCGCAACCACACAAUUCGGCUCUUCUCUCCAAUGGUUGAGGAAAAUGAUGAAGUCUGUUAGCUUUGUGUGGGGGGACCGGAGAAGACAAGGGACUUGCCCAGGUUCCCAGCCCGAGUCCACAGCUGGGCUGGGCGAAACUUAUCUGCUGCCCCAUGCCGCCUGCUCAGAAUCAAAUCAGAAUGCCACCAACGCCGGGAUUAUGUAAUUCCAGGCUCUCCUCGGCAAACACGACCACCCACAUCACCGGCCAGAACGCACACAGCCUGUCGAAGCCGCCACCUGGUCCAAUUUAUCAUCAGGACUCCAUUUGAACGCCCCAGAAUAACACAAAAGAUGGGAAACCAAAGCCAUUUACACGGAGAGAGUUCCGUGGAAGGCCAUGUUGUGAUGGAGGGCACGCAGGGGUCUGAACCACGGCAUUCCUUACGUAACAUCUCGGGGGCGCACGCUAGGACAAUUUCCCAUUUGACUCUUGGUAGCACCCACAAGCAUGUGGGCUUUCCUCUAAAGCAGACACAGCAUGGGCUGUUCACUGCAAUGAUGGCACUGAGCCGAAUCGGGGCUGCUUCUCCGCCUUUCUCCUGACCCCCUCCCCUUUCUGGGCCCGGACUCCCCUUGCCGUUAAAAUAAGGAAAUGGUCCUGGGUGGUUUUUUAUUUCAGCUCUACCCUUUCAUGACUUUGCAAUUCUGCAUUUGAUUUACAGACCAAGGAGGAAUUCGUUUUUUCCGUGAGGGAACGAAAACUGUGGCACUUGGGAGAUUUGGUCAGGGGGGGUCUGAAACCAGCCUCUUCCAAGAUAGUUAGGCGGUCUGAUUGUUUUAGAUCUCCAUUUGGGUAUCAGCCUUUUAUUUUCUGCUCUUCUUAAUCAAAUUCAUUCAUUAGUUUUUCUCAUCAGUUCAGCAAUCAUUUAUUUUCUAGAAAAAUUACAGAUGCAUUCCCUUAACCCCCCC